rnacentral:ribozyme from 1 species
GAGAUAUAUAUAUCUACAAAGAAGAAGAGGAAAGGAAGACAGAGUGUAUUUAUCUGUAUAUUUGUGUGUUUGAGCUUGCAUUUCUUUUUUCGCCUUUUUUUUCCUUCUGGGUUUUGAUAAUGC